AGCUGAUGGAGGAAAAGAUUUGAGAAUAUCCAUUCCCCACUGGGUAAAUGGCCAAGGGGCGCUGAACAGUGUUAAUUACACCGUUGGCUGAUGUUGGAUGGUGGCGUGCCUUUGGCAUUUGUCGCAUUUCUUCACAAACUCAACUACAUCAUUCUGCAAGGUCAGCCAGUAAUAACCUUACCUCAUAACUUUGCAAGCUAGCAUUAUGCCUCCUAGGUGGUUACCAUAGAUGCCUUCAUAAACUUCCCGAAGAGCAUAUUCUGCAUUGGAGGGUUGGAGGCAUCUAAGAAGAGGUAGACUAAAUGACCUCUUAUAGAGCCCUCUGUCCACUGAGAUACAAUUCACUACUUGGUACCUCAGUCUUUAAGCUUCUUUUUUGUACUCAGGUUGCCUUGAGGUACUCAACAAGUGGAUCCAUCCAGCUCGGUUCAUAGUUAGCUUGUAGCACCGAACUUGGCUUUUCAUCAAUGCUAGGCUUCUCUAGCACGUCAAAGUAGGCGGUCUUCUUUAGGUCGAUGCAUUCCGAAGUUGCUAAACUAGAGAGAACAUCGGCUCUGGUUUUCUCCGACCUUGGGAUCUAUUGGACCUCAAAUCUACUGAAGGCCAAGGAGACAUAUUUCACCUUUUGUAGAUAUUUGGCCAUUGCGGGACCUCGCGCCUCACAUUCUCCUCAGACCUAGCCAACAACGAGCUAAGAGUCACUAAAGGCCUUAAG
rnacentral:lncRNA from 1 species